rnacentral:tRNA from 1 species
GGGUUCGUAGCUCAGCCAGGUAGAGCGUCUGGCUCUUAACCAGUCUUCUAGGGUUAAAAUGUCGUGGGUCCGAAUCCCACCGAACCCG